AUUGAACGCUGGCGGCAUGCUUUACACAUGCAAGUCGAACGGUAACAGGUUAAGCUGACGAGUGGCGAACGGGUGAGUAACGCAUCGGAACGUGCCCGAUCGUGGGGGAUAACGCAGCGAAAGCUGCGCUAAUACCGCAUAAGAUCCGAGGAUGAAAGCGGGGGACUUUAUAGCAAUAUGAGGUCUCGCGCGAUCGGAGCGGCCGAUGUCAGAUUAGGUAGAUGGCGGGGUAAAGGCCCACCAAGCCGACGAUCUGUAGCUGGUCUGAGAGGACGACCAGCCACACUGGGACUGAGACACGGCCCAGACUCCUACGGGAGGCAGCAGUGGGGAAUUUUGGACAAUGGGCGCAAGCCUGAUCCAGCAAUGCCGCGUGCAGGAAGAAGGCCUUCGGGUUGUAAACUGCUUUUGUACGGAGCGAAAAGGUCUUCUCUAAUAAAGAAGGCUGAUGACGGUACCGUAAGAAUAAGCACCGGCUAACUACGUGCCAGCCGCCGCGGUAACAC
rnacentral:rRNA from 1 species